AGAGUUUGAUCAUGGCUCAGAACGUACGCUGGCGGCACGCCUAAUACAUGCAAGUCGAACGGGGUAGCAAUACCUAGUGGCAGACGGGUGAGUAACAUGUGGGUAUCUUCCCUUUGGUGAGGAAUAACACGAGGAAACUUGUGCUAAUACCUCAUAAGUCUUUACAGAGAAAGCUUUAUGCACCAUUGGAUGAGCCCGCACUUGAUUAGUUUGUUGGUGGGGUAAUGGCCUACCAAGACUGUGAUCAAUAGCUGAUUUGAGAGGAUGAUCAGCCACAUUGGGACUGAGACACGGCCCAAACUCCUACGGGAGGCAGCAGUGGGGAAUCUUGCACAAUGGAGGAAACUCUGAUGCAGCGAUGCCGCGUGAGUGAAGAAGGCCUUUGGGUUGUAAAGCUCUUUCGUCGGGGAAGAAAAUGACUGUACCCGAAUAAGAAGGUCCGGCUAACUUCGUGCCAGCAGCCGCGGUAAUACGAAGGGACCUAGCGUAGUUCGGAAUUACUGGGCUUAAAGAGUUCGUAGGUGGUUGAAAAAGUUGGUGGUGAAAUCCCAGAGCUUAACUCUGGAACUGCCAUCAAAACUUUUCAGCUAGAGUUUGAUAGAGGAAAGCAGAAUUUCUAGUGUAGAGGUGAAAUUCGUAGAUAUUAGAAAGAAUACCAAUUGCGAAGGCAGCUUUCUGGAUCAUUACUGACACUGAGGAACGAAAGCAUGGGUAGCGAAGAGGAUUAGAUACCCUCGUAGUCCAUGCCGUAAACGAUGUGUGUUAGACGUUGGAAAUUUAUUUUCAGUGUCGCAGCGAAAGCGAUAAACACACCGCCUGGGGAGUACGACCGCAAGGUUAAAACUCAAAUGAAUUGACGGGGACCCGCACAAGUAGUGGAGCAUGUGGUUUAAUUCGAAGAUACGCGCAGAACCUUACCAACACUUGACAUGUUCGUCGCGACUUUAAGAGAUUAAAGUUUUCGGUUCGGCCGGACGAAACACAGGUGCUGCAUGGCUGUCGUCAGCUCGUGUCGUGAGAUGUUGGGUUAAGUCCCGCAACGAGCGCAACCCUCACUUUUAGUUGCCAUCAUUUAGUUGGGCACUCUGAAAGAACUGCCAGUGAUAAGCUGGAGGAAGGUGGGGAUGACGUCAAGUCCUCAUGGCCCUUACGUGUUGGGCUACACACGUGCUACAAUGGUAUCUACAACAGGAAGCGAAACAGCGAUGUUGAGCAAAUCCUUAAAAGAUACCUCAGUUCGGAUUGCACUCUGCAACUCGAGUGCAUGAAGCUGGAAUUACUAGUAAUCGUGGAUCAGCGUGCCACGGUGAAUGCGUUCCCGGGUCUUGUACACACCGCCCGUCACACCAUGGGAGUUGGUUCUACCUUAAG
rnacentral:rRNA from 1 species